GAUUGAACGCUGGCGGCAGGCUUAACACAUGCAAGUCGAGCGGAGAGAGGUAGCUUGCUACUGAUCUUAGCGGCGGACGGGUGAGUAAUGCUUAGGAAUCUGCCUAUUAGUGGGGGACAACAUUUCGAAAGGAAUGCUAAUACCGCAUACGUCCUACGGGAGAAAGCAGGGGAUCUUCGGACCUUGCGCUAAUAGAUGAGCCUAAGUCGGAUUAGCUAGUUGGUGGGGUAAAGGCCUACCAAGGCGACGAUCUGUAGCGGGUCUGAGAGGAUGAUCCGCCACACUGGGACUGAGACACGGCCCAGACUCCUACGGGAGGCAGCAGUGGGGAAUAUUGGACAAUGGGCGCAAGCCUGAUCCAGCCAUGCCGCGUGUGUGAAGAAGGCCUUAUGGUUGUAAAGCACUUUAAGCGAGGAGGAGGCUACUUUAGAUAAUACCUAGAGAUAGUGGACGUUACUCGCAGAAUAAGCACCGGCUAACUCUGUGCCAGCAGCCGCGGUAAUACAGAGGGUGCAAGCGUUAAUCGGAUUUACUGGGCGUAAAGCGCGCGUAGGCGGCUAAUUAAGUCAAAUGUGAAAUCCCCGAGCUUAACUUGGGAAUUGCAUUCGAUACUGGUUAGCUAGAGUGUGGGAGAGGAUGGUAGAAUUCCAGGUGUAGCGGUGAAAUGCGUAGAGAUCUGGAGGAAUACCGAUGGCGAAGGCAGCCAUCUGGCCUAACACUGACGCUGAGGUGCGAAAGCAUGGGGAGCAAACA
rnacentral:rRNA from 1 species